UCAAUGACGAUAAAAUUAGUCCUACAAAAUACAUAAGGCUGCGUCUCCAUUUACAAUAAUAGAUAACAAUGUCGGCUGGACCAGUAAUAUAUCAAAUCCAAAGUUCAGUAAACAAUGCAAAGGAAUCACAUAUGUGAAGGCAGAUAACAGAAAAGUUAGAUUUUCCUUUCUCUAAAAAGGGUGCCUCACUAUAAAAGGAAUAAGGGCUCCUUUUAUCUCUAUCUGAUCUGCCUCAAGAUCUUCUACAGUGCUUCUGCAGUCCUGUAGAUGUAGAUUAACCUCUUCCUUGAAUCUAUCGUAUAUUAAUCUCAACUGCUUCUGCUGGUCUGCAUUUUUGUUAAAGGAAUAGGUGAGAAAAGGUAUGAAAGAGAAGAUGGAGAAAACAUCUCCUAUGAAAGCCGUGCACAAACAUAAUCGUAUGACAAGAAAGUGCUUAGAAAGGAAAAUAUUGAAUAUGGAAUUCAGAAGCAAUCAAAAUAUAUAUAGAUAGCUAGACGUUAACAAGUUAUAGAAAUGGAAAGUGAGACAUCAAAUGCGGAGACAUUGUCAAUAGUAUCAUCCCGUAUUCUUAGAUGUGAGUGAUUCUUCCCAAUGUUUUUGAACCUGUGAUUGUUGUUAUACCUUUAUGAAAAAAUAUCAUAUGACAUUGAAACUUGGUAUUUCUGCCAAUACAGAUGUCAAUUAUUUGAAUUUAUCUGAAACUUACAAGCA